rnacentral:rRNA from 1 species
AAUAGAUACCCAGGUAGUCCACGCCGUAAACGUUGGGCGCUAGAUGUGGGGACCAUUCCACGGUUUCCGCGUCGUAGCUAACGCAUUAAGCGCCCCGCCUGGGGAGUACGGCCGCAAGGCUAAAACUCAAAGGAAUUGACGGGGGCCCGCACAAGCGGCGGAGCAUGCGGAUUAAUUCGAUGCAACGCGAAGAACCUUACCAAGGCUUGACAUAUGCGAGGACGCUCUAGAAAUAGAGAACUCUUUGGACACUCGUAUACAGGUGGUGCAUGGUUGUCGUCAGCUCGUGUCGUGAGAUGUUGGGUUAAGUCCCGCAACGAGCGCAACCCUCGUCGCAUGUUGCCAGCACGUAAUGGUGGGAACUCAUGUGAGACUGCCGGGGUCAACUCGGAGGAAGGUGGGGAUGACGUCAAAUCAUCAUGCCCCUUAUGUCUUGGGCUUUAUGCAUGCUACAAUGGCCGGUACAAAGGGCUGCGAAACCGCAAGGUGGAGCGAAUCCCAAAAAGCCGGUCUCAGUUCGGA